CAGGUGGGGAGGUCACAAUAGUUUUCAGAAAAAUGGUACUGAGCCCAGGCUGGUGGGAAGCCCAGCCCCACUAGCGCGCUGCAGAUGCGUCAGGUCGUAACCACGGCAGUGGGGAAAGUGAAAGGAGGGGCGGGGGCGGGGCGUACUCAGCUCCUUCACGCAGUCGUUGACCAGCUGCUGCUCCUUCUCUUCAUAGGUGAUGGUCUCCGUCUUCAGCUGGCAGGCCUCGGAUCGAAGUACAACGUUUUCCUCUUCAAGGUCCUUCAGCUUCUUCUGGAGAGAAUCCAGAUGGAAGUAAUUCUGGACGGAGGAGGACGACUCAUUCCUCUUCAAC